rnacentral:lncRNA from 10 species
CUAAGGCAGAAAUAGAACAAGGCUCCAUGUCAUUAGUGGAGGAUUUCCCCGGAGUUUUUAUCUUGGAAAUUUCAAUUGGUUACUAGGAAAAUGUUACCAAGCCAGCCAAAGGCACUGAGCUUUCUCCUUGUAUAUGGCAAUUCAUUCGGACCCUAGCUGAAUACACAGGGUAGGAUGCAUAAUCGUAGUUGGUGUGCAUGCACAUUUUAAGGGCAUUGUAAUUCUUGAAAUUAACUCUUUACUAACAUGAAAAUGGCUUCAUUAUAUUUGUAGAUUAUAACAGGUGUGUUCAACAUAAUCUGACAAAUACACAGUGAUUAAGAGCAUGACGUUGGAGUCAGUUAGGUUGAAAAUCCUGACCCACCACUUACUGGUUGGGCAGCCUUGGGCAAACUACCUAACUUCUCCAUGUCUGUAUCUUCUCUGUAAAUGGAGUCAUGAUGCCCCUCUCACAGUGCCGUUCAUUUGCUUAUUCAUUCACGUAACCAAUAUUUAUUGUGCACCUACUCUGUGUCAGACGUGGUUCUAGCCACUGGGAAUAAAGUGGUGAACAAGGCAAAGCAGGUCCCUGCUCUCAUGGAGUGUUCAUUCUAGUGAGAGAAGCAAAUAAUGAACAAGUAAAUAAAGUCAUUGCAAAGAAUGAUGCACCGUGAAGAAAAUAAAACAGGGCAAUGGAACAGAGAGUGGCUGGGGUGAGUGGGAUGAGAUGGAGGGAAUCAUUAGACAGGAUGGUCAGUGAAGAGGUGACAUUUGAGUUGAGACAUAGAUGAAAAGUUGCUGGUCACAUGCAAAUCAGGGCCAGCUGCACUCCAGGAAAUGGAAACAGCAAACACAAAGACCCAGGGCAGGUGUGCACUUGACACUUUGGGUCUAAGAAACAAAAAGCAGGAUGGGCUGAUAUAUAGCAAGCAUCAGAGUGACAGGCAGUGAAGGAACUUGAGGAAUUAGACAGGACGCAGAACAUACAGGGUAGAAGGUCAGAGAGCUGUUACUGUUAUUGUUUCUAUAAAAUUUGACAAACACAGACAAGGAUACAGAAAAAAUAUACAAGCUACCCAUCACCUAGACAUAAUAUUUUGGUAUAUUCAAGACCUUUUUAAAUGUAUAUGUGUGUACUCACGCACAUGUGCACACACACACAAACUCACCAUCACACAGAAUGGCAUGAUGCUAGUUAACCCUUAAUAAGUAUGUUUUACCUUCCCAGUCACACUUUUAACUUCUUAAGGACAGAACCUUCCCUCUAUUUCUCAUGUGGUUACACACUCCGGGAGGCAAUGAAUAUAGACUUAGAGAAGAAAGCAAAGAACGGGACAAAGGUUAUCUUCAUAUUGCAAAGCAGGGCAUUUUCUGCCACACUGUUAGACAGGGAUCACUUAUCAGAUACAUUAAUUUAUUAAGUGGACAUGUAUUGAGCACUUACAAUACUAGUGUUGAGGAUACACACUUCCCCAAUGUCAACCCCAACCCCACUCUUGGACCCAGAGCAGAAGGGCUCCUGCCUAAGACCCCCAACCAGAGGACCCUCCUCUGGGUGCACUAGAGGUCCCCAACUAGAGGACUCUCUUCUGGGCACACUGCUCCCUGAUAUGAGCAUCCACAGUGCCAAGGGGAUGUGUCUACAUUGAGGCUGCACACACCCCAUUAGGAACCAUAUUCCAAGAGCACCUAAGCCUGGAUGACCCACUUCAGGCCUUUCCUGUUCUGCUCUACGGUCUACAUGGUGAAUCCAGAUGAUUCUCUUUCUUGGCUCCUCCUGAGGUGCUCUCAGAUCUCAACAUUUCCUUCAUGCUCCAUCAUGUUUUGAGCUAGAAACCUUAGUUGGUAAUCUGCAACUUACAAAUCUGGUUUCCCAAUAAGAUUGCAUGCUUCUUGUGGGGAGGGAUCAUGUCUCAAUUACAUUUGUAUUUACUCUUACAGCAUUUAGCAAUGUGCCAUGCGUGAUACUUGGUAUCACUUUCAUACAAAAUAUUACCCGUAAAUUUUCCACCACUGAAAGUCAUUGGAAAGCCUGAUGCUCCUCCAGCAAAAUCACUCAUCAUUAGAGC